rnacentral:rRNA from 1 species
AGUGACCUACGGGGGGCAGCAGUGGGGGAUAUUGCACAAUGGGGGAAACCCUGAUGCAGCGACGCCGCGUGGGUGAAGAAGCGCCUCGGCGCGUAAAGCCCUGUCAGCAGGGAAGAAAAUGACGGUACCUGAAGAAGAAGCCCCGGCUAACUACGUGCCAGCAGCCGCGGUAAUACGUAGGGGGCAAGCGUUAUCCGGAUUUACUGGGUGUAAAGGGGGCGCAGACGGCGAUGCAAGCCAGGAGUGAAAGCCCGGGGCCCAACCCCGGGACUGCUUUUGACACUGUUGAACUAGAUUGCAGGAGG